rnacentral:ncRNA from 1 species
ACAGUACAAACUGAACAGGCGCCGGUUCAUGAUUGCCGGGAUGGCCGGGUCACUUGGAUGUUGUGACAGCAGAUGAUUACAGGCAUCUGUGGGACAGU